CUGCUCUACCACAGUGUACUGAACACACCAGACUCUUCCGAUUUUGGAAGCGAAACAGGGUCAGGCCAGGUUAGUACAUGAGUGGGAGACCAUCAGGAAAUACCUAGAUCUCCGGGCAGU
rnacentral:rRNA from 1 species